rnacentral:rRNA from 1 species
UACGUAGGGCGCAAGGCGUUUGUCCGGAAUUAUUGGGCGUAAAGAGCUCGUAGGCGGUUUGUCGCGUCUGCUGUGAAAAUCCGGGGCUCAACCCCGGACUUGCAGUGGGUACGGGCAGACUAGAGUGUGGUAGGGGGAGACUGGAAUUCCUGGUGUAGCGGUGAAAUGCGCAGAUAUCAGGAGGAACACCGAUGGCGAAGGCAGGUCUCUGGGCCACUACUGACGCUGAGAAGCGAAAGCAUGGGGGAGCGAACAGG